GCUGGAGCUCACGAAGGUCUUUAAUGGUGAGGUGACGAAAGUACGAAAGUGCCCUUCACAAAAGCCUCCUAGGCGGUCGUAGGGGAGUGCACGUCCCAGGGGACAAAAUAUUGUUAGCCGUUGGUUUCUGGAUAGAGCAACACUUUCACGAAAUGUCUCAAGUUUGAUUGGCCCCGACUUUGUUCAAUGUUAUUCCUUGACCGUGGCUGUUACUUGAAUUUUUUAGCGAUGAAUGUGCUUUGAAUUUUGAGGUUUUUAGAAUUUGUCUUGGU
rnacentral:lncRNA from 1 species